AGGGCAUUGGCCAUGAUUGCCUUUGGCCUCAGCACAGAAGGAUUAAUCCUGCCUUGGGGGGUUAUUUGCUUCAGAUCUGGACUUCAGGAUUGAUGGAGGAAGGUGAGCUGAAAAGAGAAGAAGGCUCUAAAAGUUACUUCUCAGAAGCUGCAUAAAUCUGAACUGUUAACUGCAUUGCGCCUAGAAGGCCAGCUUCUGUUCUCCAUCACAGCCCUCAACUGAAAGCAGCUGAAAUUGCACAGAGCGAUGUUUGCAGUCUUUUUUUCUUGUUGGUGGUGAUCGAUGAAGAAGGCACAAUUUGAUUUUCAGAUCCUACCAGACACGGACAGGGUUGGCUAUUACAAAACAUGCUUGUUUUACAAGAACCCACUGAAAAAAUGGAAAUCAUUGCAUGUGAGAACAAAAACUCCCUACAGAGAUGUCAGAUCCAGCGCUGCAAGAGACUGUAUCUGUUGUUCUUACCAACUUUUUUCCUCAAAUACUUAUUAGCAGAUACAGAUUCAGUACAAUCCUUUCUGCAAUACUCUUAUUCAAAAAAUUACAUUCCUGAAGUGUCCUUGUUUUUUUUCCUUUAACUUAGAAAAGAAUUAUGUAGUAGAGAUGAUAUUCAUUUAACUGUAGUUAUUCUUUGUGUGUAGAAUUUACUUAUUUCUUUUUAUGG
rnacentral:lncRNA from 1 species